AGCUGAGCGCACCCGAGGGAGGACCCCUUCCUUUUCCUCUCCCCACUCCUGCCCUGGAGGUCGGUGGUCGGGGUGGCGAGGAGCUCCGCACGUUUUGUUGAAUCCAAGGCGAGAACUGAGUGAAGCAAGGCUCCUUCCCAGCGCAGCCAAGUGCGCUGUCACGCCGGGGGGCCCGGCGGGCUCACCGGCUGCGGAGCACAGGGACCCUGGGCCGGGCUGCAGCGGACCGUGCAGCACGCCUGUGUCUGCAAAUGCUACCUGUCCAGCAAACCCUCAGUCAGUACUUAACACUGAAAAACGCACCAAACUCCACAGCACUCCCAAAUCUGAGCAUAAGCACCUUGCAAGUGCGUUCUUGUUCGCUGGGACCGGCAAACCAAUGCGCACAGCGGUAGGGUCAGCGUCUGCCUUACGCAAUGACACUCUGAGGAGCGUUCGCAAAGGACGCGGUAAAACAAAACAAGCAAACAAAAACAACGCCCUCCGGAUGCCAACCAUCCCGUCUGAGGAGUGUGGAGGCCAGUGGGUGCUUUUGCUUGUUUAAGACAGAGAGAAAGAGAAGACAGAAGGAGAGGAGAGAGACAGACAGAGAGACGGACAGAGAGGGAGGCAGAGAGAGAGGGAGGCAGAGAGGGAGGGAGCGAAACCACAGACCUCCCACCGGAACCUAAACCUAUGAGAGAGGCAUUUAAACGCCACGCAUUUUCUGGAACGUCUUCUGCAGCCAGCUCCCAGCCAGCCGGUGCCGGUCCCUCCCGCCGUCCCUCCUCGCGCGGCGGCGCGGGCCGGGCUCCCGAGGCGCAGAGGCGCGCGGCGCAGGAAUCUUUGUAAUAGUUUACCCUCAUCUGCUGAAGACUUUGACCAAAGCUGCUCCCAGCCCUCAGCGUCGUCCUGAGAAAAGGGCUGCCUCUGAAACCAGAGAAACAUUUGGGAGACUCUCAGCCUAGUGGACUGUCUGAAGCUUGGUGGCUGUAGACAGCAGAUUCCGGCUGCUUCUGUUGCUUUUGAUAGCAGAGGGGUUGUCCUGAAGCAGCAGCCAGAAAGCAAUGCUAAGACGACCUUUGGUUUAAAGAAUUAAAAGGAAGGACAACUUCAGAUAAGACUUUCAAAG